rnacentral:rRNA from 1 species
UACAGAGGGUGCAAGCGUUGUUCGGAAUUAUUGGGCGUAAAGGGCGCGUAGGCGGUGCCACAAGUCACCUGUGAAAUCUCCGGGCUUAACUCGGAGCCUGCAGGCGAAACUGUGGUGCUGGAGUGUGGGAGAGGUGCGUGGAAUUCCCGGUGUAGCAGUGAAAUGCGUAGAGAUCGGGAGGAACAUCAGUUGCGAAGGCGGCUCUCUGGACCAGCACUGACACUGAGGCACGAAAGCGUGGGGAGCAAACAGG